rnacentral:rRNA from 1 species
GACGAACGCUGGCGGCGUGCCUAACACAUGCAAGUUGAGCGACGAACCAGGGCUUGCCCUGGGGCAAAGCAGCGAACGGGUGAGUAACACGUGGGUAACCUACCCCGAUAACCGGGACAACCCGAGGAAACUCGGGCUAAUACCGGAUGUGCUCACUGGACUUCGGUUCAGUGCGUAAAGGAAGCUUCGGCCUCCGUAUCGGGAGGGGCCCGCGGCCCAUUAGUUUGUUGGUGAGGUAACGGCUCACCAAGACCGCGAUGGGUAGCUGGUCUGAGAGGACGAUCAGCCACACGGGGACUGAGACACGGCCCAGACUCCUACGGGAGGCAGCAGUGGGGAAUCUUGCGCAAUGCGCGAAAGCGUGACGCAGCAACGCCGCGUGGGGGAAGAAGGCCUUCGGGUUGUAAACCCCUUUCAGGAGGGACGAAGGUUCGGCGGUGAAUAGCCGUCCGGACUGACGGUACCUCCACAAGAAGCCCCGGCUAACUACGUG